rnacentral:misc_RNA from 1 species
CUGGCCCUGCUCUGCUUUUUUCAUUCCUGAUAGCACACCUAGAAAGGCUGAUCUGGAAUUUAAUGUUGGGGGGAUGGAGGUGAAGGUGGAUAUAGAAGAGGAGGAAGUCAAUGGGGAAGCGAAAAUGCAGUGUGUGGAAGAUUCUGAUUCAAACGACAAGAAAGGAUGAUAUUCAUUUUUCAUGACAGAACUGGUUUGUGUGGUUGGUAAUUCAGUAGCCUUCGCACCACUAGUUCUAGUUUGUACAUAGUGUAAUCGACUGAAAAUAACAUUGGGUUUAGGUGAUGGGUUGCUAUUUAUUUUUCCUGUUAUAAUGUUGAUUCUAGGUGUUGGCAUGGAUAUUUUAUUUAUCAUAAUCAUUUGGAAUAUCAGUAUUAUGACACUCAGCUUUGAUCUUCUGGUAUUUACUAAAGAUCCAUGUAGUUUAAUCAAACUGCUGAAAC